AAAGAAAAGAAAAUUAAUUAUGAUGUAAGCAUAACACAAGGAUGAGUUAAACAUGAUUUAAGCAUGAUGGAAUAAUAACAUAAUUAAAAUUUUAUUUCAAACUUUAGGAAGAUAAAUACUAAGCAAGAGACAAAUUUGACCAAAAAGAAAGUUCAUCUUCUUCCUCUCUACCCCUUGGCCGAAUCACAUCUGCAGUGGUCUUCUACCAUUUUCAAGCUUUUAAGCUUGAUUUUCCCAAGCUUCUCACCCUAAAACUUAUACUCCCCUUCACUAAAACUUGAUUUUGCACCUUGAGGAAGCUAGUGGCAGCAAAAAAUUGAAGAAAACUAAAAGUUUUACAAGCUUGAAAAUUUCUUGAACAAGGUUAAUGCAAGAUUAACCCUCUCUUCUUUAAUUAUGUUAAGCAAGUCUAAAGGAAUGAAAAUUGUGUGAAAAUGAAAUAAAAUAUUGACUAAUUGCAAGACCUAAAUUUUGGUCAGCCUAGGGAAGUGAGAGAUGUUGAGUUUAAUUGAAUUAAAAUCUAAAUUUUAGCUUAGAUACCGUGAAAGAUAUGAUGUACAUGUUGAAUUAUAUGUGGUAUGCAUGAAUUGAGUGUGGAAAAUAGGGUUUUGACCUAACUUUGAGAAAUCUUGUGUAUGACUUGAAAUUGAUGAUGUUGACAUGAUUUUUUGACCAUCAGAAGUGCUAUGAAUGUCAAUAACUUUCAUCAAGCAGUAAUCCCCAUAAUCUUAAUUGAUGAGAAACAAAGAAACACAAGGCAGAUUGAGAGAAACUAAAACUUAAAACAUACAUCUAUUGAACAAUCCUCAACGUACAAAUAGAAAAACACCUGUAUAAAUGGACCUACAUAAAGCAGCUUCCUUGCAAAAUUGCAUGAGAAAUUCCCAUCUACAGUCAAGCCUAUGAGUACAAGUCUGCAGAACCAAACUUAAAAAAAAUAAAAGAGGAUAAAAGUGAUCUUUGUAGUUGUUUUGUAAUUGAUACGAAACAUUAAACAUACAUUCAUGCUUCAGUGUGAUGUAAACUUGGGGGUCUCAAGCAGCAGCAGCAACACUGCCUUUCCUUCCAUCCAACACGUAACAAAUACCUUGUCAGAAUAUAUGCACGAUAUCAUAGGCAAAUGUCCAGAAUAGCACGAACGACAUAAGCCCACCAAAAAAGCCAUCAAGUAUAAUCCGGUUCCAAGAGUCAAAGUAUGAAUGAACAGAAAACUUUGCUUUGGCUAUGAGUCCUAUGGAAGUGAUUGCCAUGAUAAGGAAAUAAAAAAUAAAUCCAGUCAAACCCGUGAAUCCCAAAAUUCCAGCAAUCACCCCACCAAUGAUAGACAAAAAUGUCCGGCUGCAAAGAAAAUAAAGCUUAGAUUUAUGCUCCAGGGAGGCCCUCUCAUUAUAUUAAUCAACAACGAAAAAUCACAAAGUUUCAUUAGAAUAUAGCUCUGGGUCCUUUUUAAGUUUUUGAAACAAACCUGUAAUAUAUGACUUUCAUGUUACUUUGCAAAUUUUCAGCAUUGAAAGUUUGCAAAUCAUUAGCAUCUUCACUUGAUUUCUUCUCGGAUCCACCAGCCAUGCCUUCUACUAUAUAAUGAUCUAAUUUAUGCUCAACUUGUAGCACCACUGAGUAAACUCUGCUUAUGUCCCGAUUUGUUCCGGUUUAUAAAAGCGCAGAUUACAUCUUUCCAUUAAUUUUCACUUACGUCCUUGUAAUAUGAAAUAUUUAGAAUUAGUCCUCCAACUUUACAAAUUUGAAAUUCAUCACUUCAGGAGGCUAUUGAAACGACGUCGUUGUACUUCGCUUUUAUGGUUUGCCAUUGAUCACUCACCGGCAGCACCGACAAAAGGAGGGACUGCAACAGGGCUGAAGCUACCUGGAGCUGGAGUUAUGCGGAUGCGGUAUGCCUUUUUGUGGAUUUAAACGUUUUUCCUUUUGGAAAUCAAAUCAGUUAGCUGCUCAAGUGGGGUUUCAGGGGUUUUAGUUCUUUCAUUGGUUAAAUUUUGACUUUUGUUCUCAAAUGCAUCUGAAAGAGGGAUGUUCCUUGUUGUUAAAGGUCCACAACCUUCAAUCCCCUUUGUUUUAAACACAAAUCCAAUUCUCAAUCCGAACAAUAAACCCCAAAUUGAGCAAAAUCAAGCCCAUCUCAAAGAAUUUGAUGUUGUAAAGAGGUUGAAAAAUGAAUCCAGCAUUGUACUGGCUCUAGAUUACUUCAAGUCAAUAGCCAAUUCACAAGCUUUUCAACAUAGCCAAUUAACGUACCAAGCCAUGAUUGAAAAACUUGGUGCCCAACGCGAUGUAGAUGGUGUACAAUACCUUCUUCAGCUAAUGAAAUUAGAAGGAAUUAGCUGUAGUGAGGAUUUAUUUAUCUCUGUGAUCAAUACUUAUAGACGAGUUGGUUUAGCUGAGCAAGCGUUGAAAAUGUUCUAUAGAAUUGGGGAAUUUGGGUGCAAACCUACGGUUAAGAUAUAUAAUCAUCUUUUGGAUGCGUUGCUUAGUGAGAAUAGGUUUCAAAUGAUCAAUCCUAUAUAUAGCAACAUGAAGAGAGAUGGGAUGGAACCGAAUGUUUAUACUUAUAACAUCCUUUUGAAAGCCUUAUGCAAGAACAAUAGGGUUGAUGGGGCGUGCAAGUUGCUUGUGGAAAUGUCCAAUAAAGGAUGUAAUCCAGACGUGGUUAGCUGCACAACUGUCAUAUCUUCUAUGUGUAAGCUUGGUAGGGUGGAGGAGGCAAAGGAGCUUGCCAUGAAAUUUCAACCUAGUGUCCCUGUUUACAAUGCUUUGAUAAAUGGUUUUUGCAGAGAAUACAAAAUUAAGGAGGCAUUUCGGUUGUUAGGUCAAAUGGCGGAUAAGGGAAUUGAUGCCAAUGUCAUUACUUACUCAACCGUAAUCAAUUCUCUUUCAGAUAUGGGAAAUGUUGAAUUGGCUCUUGCAGUUUGGGCAAAGAUGUUUGUGAGAGGUUGUAGCCCCAAUGUUCACACCUUUACUUCCUUGAUGAAGGGCUAUUUCAUGGGAGGGAGAGUAUACGAGGCACUCAAUAUAUGGAACCAGAUGAUUCAAGAAGAAAUUGAGGCCAAUAUUGUUGGGUAUAACGCUCUAAUACAUGGUCUCAGCCUGCUCCCAUGGGAAAAUGGGAGAAGCUUUAUCUGUUUCCUGUAAAAUGGAGGGAAACGGUUGUUCUCCAAAUGUGAUCACAUAUAGCGCUCUCAUUGAUGGUUUUGCAAAAGCUGGUGACUUGGUUGGUGC
rnacentral:misc_RNA from 1 species